rnacentral:rRNA from 1 species
CCUACGGGUGGCAGCAGUAGGGAAUAUUGCUCAAUGGGGGAAACCCUGAAGCAGCAACGCCGCGUGGAGGAUGAAGGUUUUCGGAUUGUAAACUCCUUUUGUUAGAGAAGAUAAUGACGGUAUCUAACGAAUAAGCACCGGCUAAGUACGUGCCAGCAGCCGCGGUAAUACGGAGGGUGCAAGCGUUACUCGGAAUCACUGGGCGUAAAGAGCGCGUAGGCGGGAUAGCAAUUCAGAUGUGAAAUCCUAUGGCUUAACCAUAGAACUGCAGUUGAAACUGUUAUUCUAGAGUAUGGGAGAGGUAGGUGGAAUGCGUGGUGUAGGGGUAAAAUGCGUAGAGAUCAAGAGGAAUACUCAUUGCGAAGGCGACCUGCUAGAACAUAACUGACGCUGAUGCGCGAAAGCGUGGGGAGCAAACAGGAUUAGAUACCCCGGUAGUC